GGUUAAGCGACUAAGCGUACACGGUGGAUGCCCUGGCAGUCAGAGGCGAUGAAGGACGUGCUAAUCUGCGAUAAGCGUCGGUGAGGUGAUAUGAACCGUUAUAACCGGCGAUUUCCGAAUGGGGAAACCCAGUGUGUUUCGACACACUAUCAUUAACUGAAUCCAUAGGUUAAUGAGGCGAACCGGGGAACUGAAACAUCUAAGUACCCCGAGGAAAAGAAAUCAACCGAGAUUCCCCCAGUAGCGGCGAGCGAACGGGGAGGAGCCCAGAGCCUGAAUCAGUGUGUGUGUUAGUGGAAGCGUCUGGAAAGGCGUGCGAUACAGGGUGACAGCCCCGUACACAAAAAUGCACAUAUUGUGAGCUCGAUGAGUAGGGCGGGACACGUGGUAUCCUGUCUGAAUAUGGGGGGACCAUCCUCCAAGGCUAAAUACUCCUGACUGACCGAUAGUGAACCAGUACCGUGAGGGAAAGGCGAAAAGAACCCCGGCGAGGGGAGUGAAAAAGAACCUGAAACCGUGUACGUACAAGCAGUGGGAGCCUCUUAAUGGGGUGACUGCGUACCUUUUGUAUAAUGGGUCAGCGACUUAUAUUCUGUAGCAAGGUUAACCGAAUAGGGGAGCCGAAGGGAAACCGAGUCUUAACUGGGCGUUAAGUUGCAGGGUAUAGACCCGAAACCCGGUGAUCUAGCCAUGGGCAGGUUGAAGGUUGGGUAACACUAACUGGAGGACCGAACCGACUAAUGUUGAAAAAUUAGCGGAUGACUUGUGGCUGGGGGUGAAAGGCCAAUCAAACCGGGAGAUAGCUGGUUCUCCCCGAAAGCUAUUUAGGUAGCGCCUCGUGAAUUCAUCUCCGGGGGUAGAGCACUGUUUCGGCAAGGGGGUCAUCCCGACUUACCAACCCGAUGCAAACUGCGAAUACCGGAGAAUGUUAUCACGGGAGACACACGGCGGGUGCUAACGUCCGUCGUGAAGAGGGAAACAACCCAGACCGCCAGCUAAGGUCCCAAAGUCAUGGUUAAGUGGGAAACGAUGUGGGAAGGCCCAGACAGCCAGGAUGUUGGCUUAGAAGCAGCCAUCAUUUAAAGAAAGCGUAAUAGCUCACUGGUCGAGUCGGCCUGCGCGGAAGAUGUAACGGGGCUAAACCAUGCACCGAAGCUGCGGCAGCGACACUAUGUGUUGUUGGGUAGGGGAGCGUUCUGUAAGCCUGUGAAGGUGUGCUGUGAGGCAUGCUGGAGGUAUCAGAAGUGCGAAUGCUGACAUAAGUAACGAUAAAGCGGGUGAAAAGCCCGCUCGCCGGAAGACCAAGGGUUCCUGUCCAACGUUAAUCGGGGCAGGGUGAGUCGACCCCUAAGGCGAGGCCGAAAGGCGUAGUCGAUGGGAAACAGGUUAAUAUUCCUGUACUUGGUGUUACUGCGAAGGGGGGACGGAGAAGGCUAUGUUGGCCGGGCGACGGUUGUCCCGGUUUAAGCGUGUAGGCUGGUUUUCCAGGCAAAUCCGGAAAACCAAGGCUGAGGCGUGAUGACGAGGCACUACGGUGCUGAAGCGACAAAUGCCCUGCUUCCAGGAAAAGCCUCUAAGCAUCAGGUAACAUCAAAUCGUACCCCAAACCGACACAGGUGGUCAGGUAGAGAAUACCAAGGCGCUUGAGAGAACUCGGGUGAAGGAACUAGGCAAAAUGGUGCCGUAACUUCGGGAGAAGGCACGCUGAUAUGUAGGUGAAGCGACUUGCUCGUGGAGCUGAAAUCAGUCGAAGAUACCAGCUGGCUGCAACUGUUUAUUAAAAACACAGCACUGUGCAAACACGAAAGUGGACGUAUACGGUGUGACGCCUGCCCGGUGCCGGAAGGUUAAUUGAUGGGGUUAGCGGUAACGCGAAGCUCUUGAUCGAAGCCCCGGUAAACGGCGGCCGUAACUAUAACGGUCCUAAGGUAGCGAAAUUCCUUGUCGGGUAAGUUCCGACCUGCACGAAUGGCGUAAUGAUGGCCGGGCUGUCUCCACCCGAGACUCAGUGAAAUUGAACUCGCUGUGAAGAUGCAGUGUACCCGCGGCAAGACGGAAAGACCCCGUGAACCUUUACUAUAGCUUGACACUGAACAUUGAGCCUUGAUGUGUAGGAUAGGUGGGAGGCUUUGAAGUGUGGACGCCAGUCUGCAUGGAGCCGGCCUUGAAAUACCACCCUUUAAUGUUUGAUGUUCUAACGUUGGCCCGUAAUCCGGGUUGCGGACAGUGUCUGGUGGGUAGUUUGACUGGGGCGGUCUCCUCCUAAAGAGUAACGGAGGAGCACGAAGGUUGGCUAAUCCUGGUCGGACAUCAGGAGGUUAGUGCAAUGGCAUAAGCCAGCUUGACUGCGAGCGUGACGGCGCGAGCAGGUGCGAAAGCAGGUCAUAGUGAUCCGGUGGUUCUGAAUGGAAGGGCCAUCGCUCAACGGAUAAAAGGUACUCCGGGGAUAACAGGCUGAUACCGCCCAAGAGUUCAUAUCGACGGCGGUGUUUGGCACCUCGAUGUCGGCUCAUCACAUCCUCGGGGCUGAAGUAGGUCCCAAGGGUAUGGCUGUUCGCCAUUUAAAGUGGUACGCGAGCUGGGUUUAGAACGUCGUGAGACAGUUCGGUCCCUAUCUGCCGUGGGCGCUGGAGAACUGAGGGGGCUGCUCCUAGUACGAGAGGACCGGAGUGGACGCAUCACUGGUGUUCGGGUUGUCAUGCCAAUGGCACUGCCCGGUAGCUAAAUGCGGAAGAGAUAAGUGCUGAAAGCAUCUAAGCACGAAACUUGCCCCGAGAUGAGUUCUCCCUGAGACUUUAAGUCUCCUGAAGGAACGUUGAAGACGACGACGUUGAUAGGCCGGGUGUGUAAGCGCAGCGAUGCGUUGAGCUAACCGGUACUAAUGAACCGUGAGGCUUAACCUU
rnacentral:rRNA from 1 species